rnacentral:rRNA from 1 species
GACAAACGCUGGCGGCGUGCUUAACACAUGCAAGUCGAACGGAAAGGCCCUGCUUUUGUGGGGUGCUCGAGUGGCGAACGGGUGAGUAACACGUGAGUAACCUGCCCUUGACUUUGGGAUAACUUCAGGAAACUGAGGCUAAUACCGGAUAGGAGCUCCUGCUGCAUGGUGGGGGUUGGAAAGUUUCGGCGGUUGGGGAUGGACUCGCGGCUUAUCAGCUUGUUGGUGGGGUAGUGGCUUACCAAGGCUUUGACGGGUAGCCGGCCUGAGAGGGUGACCGGCCACAUUGGGACUGAGAUACGGCCCAGACUCCUACGGGAGGCAGCAGUGGGGAAUAUUGCACAAUGGGCGGAAGCCUGAUGCAGCAACGCCGCGUGCGGGAUGACGGCCUUCGGGUUGUAAACCGCUUUCGCCUGUGACGAAGCGUGAGUGACGGUAAUGGGUAAAGAAGCACCGGCUAACUACGUG